GAACGAACGCUGGCGGCAUGCCUAAUACAUGCAAGUCGAACGAAGGCUUCGGCCUUAGUGGCGCACGGGUGCGUAACGCGUGGGAAUCUGCCUUGGGGUUCAGAAUAACAGUUGGAAACGACUGCUAAUACCGGAUGAUGACGUAAGUCCAAAGAUUUAUCGCCCUGAGAUGAGCCCGCGUCGAAUUAGCUAGUUGGUGGGGUAAAGGCCUACCAAGGCGACGAUCCGAAGCUGGUCUGAGAGGAUGAUCAGCCACACUGGGACUGAGACACGGCCCAGACUCCUACGGGAGGCAGCAGUAGGGAAUAUUGGACAAUGGGCGAAAGCCUGAUCCAGCAAUGCCGCGUGAGUGAUGAAGGCCUUAGGGUUGUAAAGCUCUUUUACCCGGGAUGAUAAUGACAGUACCGGGAGAAUAAGCCCCGGCUAACUCCGUGCCACCAGCCGCGGUAAUACGGAGGGGGCUAGCGUUGUUCGGAAUUACUGGGCGUAAAGCGCACGUAGGCGGCUUUGUAAGUCAGGGGUGAAAGCCUGGAGCUCAACUCCAGAACUGCCUUUGAGACUGCAUCGCUUGAAUCCGGGAGAGGUGAGUGGAAUUCCGAGUGUAGAGGUGAAAUUCGUAGAUAUUCGGAAGAACACAGUGGCGAAGGCGGCUCACUGGACCGGUAUUGACGCUGAGGUGCGAAAGCGUGUGGAGCACACAGGAUUAGAUACCCUGGUAGUCCACGCCGUCAACGAUGAUAACUAGCUGUCCGGGAACUUGGUUCUUGGUUGGCGCAGCUAACGCAUUAAGUUAUCCGCCUUGGGAGUAUCGGCGCUAAGUUAAAACUCUAAGGAAUUGAUGGGGGCCUGCACAAGCGAUGGAGCAUGUGGGUUAAUUCGGAGCUACGCGCAGAACUUACCACAGUUGACAUGUCCGACGAUUCCAGAGAUGGUCUCUUCCUUACGGGACUGGAACACAGUGCUGCAUGGCUGUCGUCAGCUCGUGUCGAGAGAUGUUACGUUAAGUCCUUCACCGACCGCACCUUCGCUGUAGUAGCAUCAUUAAUUGGCACUCUACAGAACCGCCGUGAUAAGCAGAAGGAGGU
rnacentral:rRNA from 1 species